GGCUUCGUAGCUCAGUUGGCUAGAGCGUUGGCUGUACUAAAACCUUCCACUUUAUGGCAUGGGUUCAAAUCCCACUGAGGUCA
rnacentral:tRNA from 1 species